CAGGGAGACAACAAAAUGUUUAAUAUUAUUAUUUUGUCACCUUAGGUCGAUCGGUAUCUCACGUUUUUAAUUUAUUAAGAAUUUCAUUUCCUAAGUUUUUCUAGGUCACACCCAUUAUUUUUCCUGGGCCAUUAGCUCAGGUGGUUAGAGCGCACCCCUGAUAAGGGUGAGGUCCCUGGUUCAAGUCCAGGAUGGCCCAUAUCUCUAUGUUGGGGGUAUAGCUCAGUUGGUAGAGCGCCUGCUUUGCAAGCAGGAUGUCAGCGGUUCGAGUCCGCUUACCUCCACUGAUUACCACCUCUUCCAUAACCGGUAAAAGGGAAAUGUUUUGAGUUGUGAUCAAAUUCUGAAAGAAUCUAGCUUCCUAAUGAAUUCAUUAAGAUGCUGGACUCAUUGAAUUAAUUUUCAUUGUUUUCAGAGAACCUUGACAACUGCAUAGAUUAUUUUUAAAGACAAUUAGCAUCUUUAAUGAUGCAGAUUUAUUAUUUGUGCGAAUGCAUUAAUAACAAUUCUAUUAAGCUGAUGCUUCAAUUUUUGAAGUUAUU
rnacentral:tRNA from 1 species